rnacentral:lncRNA from 1 species
CCCUUCUGAGCCCACGUUUUUCGCUCUCUUCGCCUCCAUUAUGUUUUUCCCCAAAAUUGUCUUCCCCUCAAGCCUAAUUCCACCUCUUCAAUUCUUGAAUUGAGGCAGAAAGAUUCAGCAGAAAUACAUUGUUAAGCAAAUUUUGCGAGACACUCGGCUUGAAGAUCCAGAAACGAGAACUGCUUCCGCUUCGGGGUCUGUUGAAACGCCAUUCGAAUCGAACACUCCCUUGUUCACUGCAGGUACUCGUAUUCCUAAUUUGUUUGUUAAUACUUGUGCAAAUUAUUUCUUUUUUUAAUUUUUAACUUCAAUUGGCCUUUGAAAUCAAUUUCCGGGUAAUUAUUUUACUGCUCUAGUUUCAUUUUCGCCUGUGAUGGUAAUCAAUCACGUGGGUUUCGAUUUCAUUGACUGAAGAAGGAAAAAAAAAAAAACUAUCUUUCUAAUUUCACCAAAAUUUAGAACGAUUUGAUCAAAUCCUAUAGAAUAUGAUAUCUGUGUUGUUUAACUAUGUGGGGGCUGCUUCUGGUGCUGUUCUUCUUUUGGCAUUUAAUGGCACAUUUGGUACUCACUAAUAGAUGGGAGGGAAGAGUAUUAAAGAAUCUAAAGUAUUUUGGCACAUGGGGUGCAGUGAAUGGUUUGUUUAUACAAUUUUCAGUUUUUUCCUCUUCCUUGGCUUCUUGGCCUUUAUUUUGUUACAAAUGGUUUUUAUUUUCUGGAUGCUAGUUGUGGGUUUUUCUAGCUGUGUCAUAUGCUGUUUUGUAUUGGUGUAUUCUUGUGUUUCAUUACCUGUGUGGAAACUUGAAGAAAUGACUGUUGGUUUCUGCAAAUUUUCCAAAAACUUGUUUUUCUUAUAGUUCAUUUUCCUGCCUUAUAUAAAGAAAUUGAUAGCAGUGAGGAAAGAGGAUUAAAGUGUUCUUUAUGUAUAUGCGGGCAAACCUGUGAAGUAAUGUUGGAUUAGUUUCUAGUUGAUAGGAAACUUUAGUCGUAUUUUCUUCAUGUACUAUGCCACUUGAAGGCUUGAACUCCAUAUUUCUUCUCACAACUUACAGAAAAUUGGAAUUUGCCACGUCCAUCUCCUGUAGUUCAGGCCUUCAGUGACUAGUAUGAUUUAUAUAUUCCCAUACUCAUGUCCAGUGUGUGAGUCCUGAGUCUUGUUGAAAGCUGUGCUCCUCUUAAUUGGAGCCAUUAGUCAUAUCUAGUUUGAAGAACAUCGACAUUCAUCUUCUCUGAGCUCUACGCUCCUAUGACCAACAUUUUCUUACGCAUAAAUAUGCGAACAAACACAGAGAGAGAGAGAGAGAGAGAGAGAGAGAGAGAGAGAGAGAGAGAGAGAGAUUUCCUACUUUCUUUCAUGAUAUAUGCACCAAAUAUCAAAAUAUAAUAGCUUCUUAACUUUUAUUGUAUUGUUUCUCAAUUGAAUAAAAAGUUUUGAUUAUUAGUUAAAAUUCAUCUUAGUGGUGAAUCUUCCUUAUGUCAUGUAAAAGAGAGUUGAGUGCUUUCAUUGUAGAGGUUGAUCUUUGUGAUUUCUUACUGUAAAGAGGCUAGAGAGAUAUCGAAGAAACUUUCACUUUCUUCGUACAUGUUGUAACAUUUUCUUGGUUCUUCUUAGUGGAUCUUGAGCUAUAUCUAUUUACAGAUGCUCGACAGGUGAUUAGGUCGAAAGGCUGAACAUCUGGGCCCCUCCUUGGGGCGAAAAAUAUCGUUGUGUUCUAUUUCUCUUGUUUCUGCAAUUUAUUUUCUUUUAAAUCAACAAAACCACAAAAUAAUUUGACCUGGACCUUUACACAUUUGUUCCUGUUUGCUACUGGAAUUAAACACGUUUCAAUGGAUGGGCCGAAUAUGUACAAGUAAAAUUGGUUAGAUUCUUUUUGUUCGACAGGGUUUCUUUAAGUUCGAAUUAAAUGAUGGUUGACUUUAGGAGCACAAACACAUAUUUUCAUGUUCCUCCCAAAUUAGUACACUACAUUUUAGCACUAUAGAGUAACUUACACAGCGGAUUGAAUCACUCAUUGUUGUCGAUUUUAUAUUUUAUAAGUGUAUGAAUUGUAACAAGUAACAUAGUAGACUAAUGAGUCCGAAUAUCAUUCCCAAAAGAAGACUAUCUAAUUUUCGUUUAAAUUAUUUCUUACUUUAAUUUGAAUAAAAAAAAAUAGAAAUAAUUUAUCUUAUUUUUGUAAUUUUUUUUAUCUUAAAUGUAGUAAAACAAUAAAAUAUGACUUUUCUAAUGAUGAUUUAAGUGUUUCAAGUUUACCAUAGCUAUCCUCUUAAUCUCAAUUACCAAAUUUUAUAAAAAAUGAUUAUGUUUAUCCUGUCGAACUCUUAUAACGUAUUCAACUUACCUUUCUCGAAUUCAAAUUGAAUUUAUUUAACUUAGCCAAUUUCAUAUCUCUAUAUAAAUCCAAAUACACCUUAAUUAAAUGCAUUAAAACCCAUAAAACGACUGAAUUAAUUGAAAAAUGCAUAUCUACACUUUUAUACUAGUUCUCGAUUUUUACUAUUGGUACCAUUUUGAUGUCUUUCGAUUCUUCCAAACGAGAGAGGUAUGAGGCUUUUGAAUCCAUUGCAUUAAUUCCACUUCCUACACACAAUAUGCUCUUUAUGAUAUCAACUUAUGAUUAAUUUGCCCUGUAUUUAGCGCUUGAGCCCCAAAGCUUAUAUUAUUAUGUGAUCGCAGCAUAAAAAAAGUCUGAAUUUUUCAUGGAAGCCGGUGAAGAAUGAUAAUCACAAAUAGGGUUCAUCACUCGGAUCAAGGCUGUCCACUUGGUGAACAAGUGAGAUUUUAAAACUAAGCACAAUGAUCUCCUCGAAUUAAAUCUCAUAUCGUCUAUCCAAUACAUAUAGUUAAAAUGCAUUAAUGUCACUAUUUGAAGGUUCUCACUUCUAUUGUUUAAGACUAUCCAUUAAUUUACCACAUCGUUGGAAUAGACGACAACUAAAUCUUGUCAGGAUAAGUGCAUACUUUAUUCACUGGUCACGGACGAAAAAGUUAUUGAUCAAAUAAUUUGUGUGACAUUUAAUUUAUGUUGCCCAACAGAUAAAAUAUAUUUCUAUACUAGAAAAAAUAUACUUUUUGGGCAUACACCCUAACACAAUCGCUUUCAAGAAGAGUUUGAUUAUUUCAUAAUGCUAAUGUACAGAUGAAAAUGAAGACAUUCAAAUAUGUAAUAUGUAUGAUGUUUGUUUUUGAAAAAAAUUAGAAGAGCUUCAUUAUGUUGUUUAAGGCGGUGUCAAUUGAAUUUUGAUGAAUUUUUGAAAGGGUGGUUAUAUUACUACAACAAUUUUUGUUUGAUACAUCAUAUUUUAACUGUAGUUAAACUUCUCAAUAUUUUCUCAUUGUACCAAAUAUUUCUUAACUUUUUCCUCGAAUCAUUAUCUUCAACAUUUCAUUAAUUAGCACGACUAUUCCUUGAAGAUGAUUUAUAUCAAAAUAUUUUCUUUUUGUAUUUUGAAAUGAGGGAAAAAUAUUUUUUGCUCUACUUAUUUAUUUAUUUCUUUUGAGAAAUAUGGAAAAAUAAGUUAUUUAACAUUAUUUCAAUGGACUUUUGAACAUAAAAUGGUUAUUAAAUACAAAAAGAGUUAACUAAUAAAAUGUUUGAGGAUAAGAAUGACAUGAAAAAUGUUAUGGACAUAACUACUAAAUGAACAACGAUUAAGAACCUUAUGCAUAAUUAAAACUUGGUGCAAGAAAUAAAAAUUGUUGUGUGUGUUGUAAAUGGAAAGUCCAUUAAAGUUUAUUAGUGAAUGACAUUUGUACCCUUAUAGCCCUAGAAAUUAUUACCAUUGUAUUCCUGAUUCUUACCUAUGAAUAUAGGGCUUUGAUUUUUAAUAAUAUGCACAAAAAGUUUAUUGAGUUUUCUCUAUUCUCUUUUCCUCUCAUUUUAUAACACGUUAUCAGCACGAAACUUUUAGAAAGUAGUAAUUUUUUUUCAUAAUCAUCUAUCACGUAUAUCAAAAUUAAUUUGAUAAUACAUGAAUUUUACAUAUACAUAUGUUGAAUCUGCAAUACGUGAUCUCAUCUUUCUCGAUCAUUAUGUUUUCUUUGUACCUCUCUUUGAAUUAAUUAAUGUUUUUUUCCUUUACAUCAAUCCACGUGCAUUUUUAUGGAGAUAUAUUUAUGUUAAAUCAAUUGAUAUGCAUUAAUUCAUGUUCCUAUACCCUCAUAUUUAGAUUAGCCCUUUACGUUCUAUAUAUGCUUAUAAUUUUUUUUUUGUUUAAUUGGUCAAUGUUCUUUGUAAGCAAGCUUCAAUUCCAGAUCUCUAUUUUGGCUGAUUCCAUAUAUGUAUAAUAUAACAAAUAACUGUACCUAACUUAUAUUUUCUCUCAAAUCCAUUGGUUUCUGCAAAUUUUAUACCUUAAUUAGUUAAUACUAAUUCAAUUCUUUUAAUUGCACAUAAUUAGAAUUUCGUGCCAUUAUAUGUGAAUAGGUUUCUACAUGUCACCAAUUUUUUUUCACUCGACUUACGUUAUUAAUUUAAAAUAAUAUUUUACAUGUGUUUGUAUAUUAAUUAAUGGUGAGCAAUUGGAUGUAUUAUCAUUUUUUUAUGUUUAGUUAUGAAACAUUACAUUAAAUUUAUUUUUAAUUGUUGUUGCUCCUGAAGUAGCACAACAUUAUAAUUAAUAUUCCAGAAGAAUAUUAAUAAUAGAUCUAUUCGUUGUUGCUCCAGAAGUAGCACAACAUUAUAAGAAUAUUAUUUGCUCCUGAAGAGCAUAAAUUAUAACUCUCAAUAUUCCAAAAGAAUAUUGACAUAUUGCCCUUGAAGAAAUAAUAGCAAAAUAUAAUGUGCUCCAGAAGUAGCAUAUGUUUCGAAGAACAUAUUAUUUCAAAUUAAUGUUUAUCCCUAGAGGAAAACACGUAACUUAAAGUCAUGUUGAUACUGACUAUUUGAUUAACAUGUGAUGAUUAAUCAUAUUUUUCGAAACUAAUUGUAUUUUUUUUAUUGUGUAGUUAAACAAAUGGCAAACAUUACGAAACUUGAGUUUGCUGUACUUGACAUAUCUGGUAAAAAUUAUCUGUCAUGGAUACUGGAUGCUGAUAUCCAUUUUGUCUCAAAGGGUUUGAGAGAGACAAUAAAAGAAGGAAACAAUGAAUCCCUGCAAGAUCGUGCAAAAGCACUCAUUUUCCUCCGUCACCAUCUUCACGAUGGAUUAAAAAUUGAAUAUCUCACUGAGAAAGAUUCACAAGUUCUUUGGAAAAAGUUAACUGAAAGAUUUGAUCAUCAGAGGACUAUAGUCUUCCCCAAAACCCGUUAUGAGUGAAUGCACCUUCGUUUGCAAGACUUUAAAACAGUUAGUGAGUACAAUUCUGAAUUAUUUAGAAUAUGUUCAAAGUUGACUUUGUGUGGAGAAAAAAUCACCGAUGAAGAUAUGCUGGAAAAAACUUUCUCCACCUUUAAUGCCUCGAAUGUGCUCCUGCAGCAGUAAUAUCGUAAGCGUGAUUUCAAAAAGUACUCAGAACUUAUAUUUUGCCUACUAGUUGCUGAACAAAAUAAUGAAUUGUUGAUAAAAAAUUAUAGAUUACGUCCAAUUGGUUCUGUACCAUUACCUGAAGCAAAUGGUACUACAUUGUCUGAAGCAAAUACAAUAUCAAGACAAGGACGUAGACGUAGACGUGGACGUGGACGCGGACGCGGACGCGGACGCAGAUGUGGACAUGGACGUGGACACGGACACGAACAUGUACGUGGAAUAAAUCAUGGAAGAAAUAAUCAACAAAAUUAUCAACAACAAGGCAAUAAAUUCAAAAGGCACAAAGCAAACGAGAGUGACAAAUCUAAAAAGGAGCAUGAAGAAAGUUGCUUCACAUGUGGAAUGAAAGGGCAUUGGGCCUGUACGUGUCGUUCCUCAAAACAUCUUGUGGAUCUCUACCAGAGAUCAAUCAAGGGAAAAGAAAAAUUGAAGACUAAUUUUGCUGAUUAUGAUGGUCCAAUUGAUGUGACUCAUUUGGAUGUCUCCGAUUUCUUUACUGAUCCAAAUGGAAAUAUUGACCAUUUGGUUGGGGGUGGUAUGAUAGAAGAUAUAAAUUAAUUUACUAGUUGAAAAUAAUGUUAACACGAUAUCGGGUGCGUCGAAUAUCGUUGAAGGCUUUGGAAGAGCUUGUAUUAUUUUACCAAAUAAUAUAAAAUUAUAUAUUGAGGAUACACUUUAUUUUAACAAAUUCAGAAGAAAUUUGCUUAGUUUUAAAAAUAUUCGCUGCAAUGAAUAUCACAUUGAGACGAUGCAAGAAAAUAAUGUUGAAUAUUUUUGCAUCACUUCUUUUAUAUCUGGCAAGAAGCAGAUAAAAAAAAAUUUCAUGCACUUCCAUCUGACAGGUAUUUUACAUUUAUAAAAAUGGUCGAAUCAAAUAAUCAAAUAAUGUUACGAACUAGGAGUUCGUUGAUUUAAAAAGUUUUAUACUUUGGCAUGAUCGACUUGGACAUUCAGGAGCCAUAAUGAUGCGUCGAAUAAUAAAUAACUUACAUGGACAUCCUUUAAAGAACCAGAAGACUCUUUUAUCUAAUGAUUAUCCAUGUGUAGUUUGUUCGCAAGGCAAGUUAGUCAUUAGACCUUCAACUACAAAGGUCAAUAUUGAAUCUCCAACUUUCUUGAAAAUAAUACAUCGAGAUAUAUGUGGGCCAAUACACCCACCAUGUGGAUCAUUUCGUUAUUUUAUGGUAUUAAUUGAUUCUUCUACAAGAUGGUCACAUAUUUGCCUACUUUCAACUAGGAAUGUAGCAUUUGCUAGACUACUCGCUCAAAUCAUAAAAUUGCGAGCACAAUUCCCCGAUUACUCAGUCAAGACUAUUCGUCUUGACAAUGCUGGUGAAUUUAGAUCACAAGCAUUUGAUGAUUAUUGUAUGUCAAUUGGGAUUGAAAUUGAACAUUCAGUUGCACAUGUUCAUAUACAAAAUGGUUUAGCGGAAUCGUUUAUUAAACGUCUACAACUUAUUGCUAGACCAUUACUUAUGAAAACAAAACUCCCAACUUCUGUUUGGAGUCAUGCCAUAUUACAUGCUGCAUCAUUGGUUCGUAUAAAAUCAACUGCCUAUCAUCAAUAUUCACUUUUGUAACUUGCAUUUGGUCAUGAACCUGAUAUUUUUCACCUACGGGGUUUUGGUUGUGCUGUUCAAGUUCUUAUUUCACCCCCACAACGUACUAAAAUGGGUCCCCAACGAAAAUUUGAGAUUUAUGUGGGUUUGAUUCAACAUCUAUUAUUAGAUAUCUUGAACAUUUAACGAGUGACUUAUUUACUGUACGUUUUGUAGAUUGUCAUUUUGAUGAAAUGACUUUCCCAACUUUGGGAGGAGAAAAAUUACAUCUUGAAAAACAAGAUAGAAUUUAUUGGAAUGAGACAACUCUAUCUCACUUUGAUCCCCGCAGCAAUCAAUGUGAACAAGAGGUUGAAAAAAUCAUUCAUUUGCAAAGAGUUGUAAUUCAACUACCUGAUGUAAUUAUUGACACGAGAAAAGUGACAAAGUCAUAUAUUCCAGCAGAAAAUAUUCCAACAAAAAUUAAUGUCCCUGCAGGACAAUCUGCUGUGGCAAAUGAAUCUCAAAUACGUCAGAAGUGUGGUCGAUCAGUUGGUUCAAAAGGCUCUGUACCUCGAAAAAGAAGAGUACAGGAGAAAAACCAAUCAAAAACUUCAGAAGAAAUCACAUUAGAAAAGAUUGAUCAAUCAAAUAUUGAAUGUACGGUUCCUGAAGAAUCAGAGGUGUCCGAAAAUAAUGAGAUCUCAAUAAAUUAUAUGAUAUCUCAUAAAUUAUGGGAACGGAAUAAUAUUGUUAUAGACAAUCUUUUCGCCUUUAACAUGACUCUUGAUAUUAUGUAAAAUGAGGAUUCUGAACCUCAGUUUGUUAAUGACUGUCGAAAUAGAAAUGAUUGGCCAAAAUGGAAAGAAGUCAUACAGGCAGAAUUGAAUUCUUUGGAGAAACGAAAAAUGUUUGGACUAGUAGUUCGAACACCUGAAAAUGUAAUCCCUGUUGGAUACAAAUGAGUUUUUGUACGAAAGAGAAAUGAGAAUAAUGAAAUUACAAGAUACAAAACCCGACUAGUGGCUCAAGGUUUCUUCCAAAAAUCGGGAAUUGAUUAUGAGGAAACAUAUUCUCUCGUAAUGGAUGCCAUCACUUUUAGGUUCUUAAUUAGUUUGAUCGUGCGACAAGGGCUCGAUAUGCGCCUUAUGGAUGUAGUAACUGUCUACUUAUAUGGUUCACUUGACAGUGACAUAUAUAUGAAAGUCCCUGAAGGAUUUAAGGUGUCAGGAAUAAAUAAUACAUGUCCAAGAACUAUGUUCUCAAUUAAAUUGCAAAAAUCAUUAUAUGGAUUGAAACAAUCCGGACGCAUGUGGUAUAAUUGCCUUAGCGAAUAUUUGUUGAAAGAUGGUUAUAAAAAUGACGAUAUCUGUCCAUGUGUUUUCAUAAAUAAAACAAAUAUUGGAUUUACAAUUGUAGCAGUUUAUAUUGAUGAUUAAAUUUAAUUGGAACUCCUGAAGAGCUUAACACUGCAGAUUAUUUGAGAAAUGAGUUUGAGAUGAAAGAUUUGGGAAAAAUCAAAUUUUGUCUUGGAUUACAAAUUGAACAUUUUUCAGAGGGAUUAUUUGUUCAUCAAUCUACUUAUACAGAAAAAGUCUUGAAACGCUUUUAUAUGGAUAAUGCACAUCCAUUGCCAUCACCUAUGGUUGUUCGAUCACUUGAUGUGAAAAAAGAUCCAUUUCGUCCACUUGAAGAUGGAGAAAAGAUUUUUGGUCCUGAAAUACUAUACCUUAGCGCAAUUGGAGUAUUAACUUAUCUUGCAAAUUGCACUCGACCUGACAUAGCUUUUUCUGUAGAUCUCCUUACAAGAUAUAACUCUACACCAACUCAAAGGCAUUGGAAUGGUGUUAAAACAUAUUUUUCGUUACCUAAAAGAUACUAUUGAUAUGAGACUAUUUUAUUCUCAAAAGUCACGAUCUGCUUUAGUGGGAUAUGCAGAUGCAGGUUAUCUCUCCGAUCCACAUAAAGCUAAAUCACAAACAGGAUAUGUGUUUACACGUGGAAGAACAGUUAUAUCAUGGAAAUUUGUGAAGCAAUCCUUGACAGCAACAUCCUCAAAUCAUUCUGAGAUUAUUGCAAUCCAUGAAGCAGGGCGAGAAUGUGUAUGGUUGAGGAAUAUGACCCAUCAUAUCCAAUCAUCAUGUGGAUUGACUUCAACAAAAAAUAGUCCAACAAUUUUGUUUGAAGAUAAUGCAGCUUGUAUCGCACAACUCAAGGGAGGCUAUAUCAAAGGCGACAGGACGAAGCACAUUUCUCCAAAAUUUUUUCAUACACAUGAAUUUCAGAAGAAUGGUGACAUUGAUAUUCAACAAAUUCACUCAAGUGACAAUGUGACCGAUCUAUUCACAAAAGCGUGCAAACAUCUACAUUCAAGAAAUUAGUUCAUGAGAUAGGAAUGCAUCGACUCAAAGAUUUUCAGUGAUCAACAUCAGGGGGAGUAGCUGUACUCUUUUUUCUUCACUUAGGUUUUGUCCCAUUAGAUUUUCCUAGCAAGGUUUUAAUAAGGUAGCAUUUAAUUUUAAUACUCUAAAAUAACUGUACUUUUUUUCUUUCGUUUGAUUUUUUUUCCAUUGGGUUUUUAUCAAACAAGAUUUUAACGAGAUAGAUAUUUUGUAAUAUGUCAUUCAAGAGGGAGUGUUGUAAAUGGAAAGUCCAUUAAAUUUUAUUGGUGAAUGACAUUUGUACCCAUGUAGCCUUAUAAAUUAUUACCAUUGUAUCCCUGAUUCUUACUUAUAAAUAUAGGGCUUUGAUUUUCAAUAAUAUACAUAAAAUAUUUAUUGAGUUUUCUCUAUUCUCUUUUCCUCUCAUUUUAUAACAGUGUGAAUAUUAUUACUCAUUUAAAAAUUCUUCUAAUUAUAAGUAUUCACAUCUAAGAUUUUAAUGGAUUUUAAUGAAAUUCAUUAAAUUUUAUGUGUUCCGAACCGAUAUUUUAAUGCAUUUCAGCGAAAUCCUUUAAAAUUUAGGUGUCCUUAAUUUAUUGUAAUUCGACAUUAUUGUAAAGGUUCACUAAAUCUUUUGAAGCAAUGUAUGAGAUACUAUAUAUUUUUUGUGAGGUGUUUUUGGGCUAUUUAAUUAGGAUUUGACUUUAUCAAUUUAAACAGAAUGAAAUUAAUUACCAAAACUAAAUUAGUAUAGUCACCAAUUAAUUCGUUCUUAUCCUCAAAUAUUACCACAUCUUAUUUCAGCUUUAUAUAAUCACUAAUCCUUGUGAAUUGUCAAAUCAAAACCAUCAACCUUCUCCAUUUUCACAUUACUUUCUAUUGAAUUCAACCUACAAUCUCAACAUGGCAAAGAAGGUUUAUCUUACGCUUUUCGUGUUUCGUUUGAUUUACAUGCAUAUUCUCUCUUCUACUGCAGUUCCGAUGUCAAGGGGUAAAUUAUACUUUUCAGUGCAGAACUUUGUCCUUAUUUCCUAUCAUUAUUUUAACAUCAACUAUAUCAUGUAUAAUGGCAUGAAAUAUGAAAUUUAUCAUUGUUUUUUACCGGGUUUAGGGCAAAGCUUUGUUUCAAAUAAAGAAGAGCUGCCCAACAAAAAAUUCUCAGGUUUUCCCUCAGUUGUUGUUGUUAUUAUUAUCAUUAUAACUAAUACAUUCGUUGUAUUUUCAGUUGAAUCUAAUUCUUGGUAAUUUGUGAAGGGCAUCAGAAGAGUUGAAGUGGCAAAUCCUAAAGGAAAUGAGAAAGAAAGCCUAAAGAUGGAGGUCAGCAUUGACUAUUCAGGCGCUAAACCCAACAGACCAUGCGAUCCAAAAGAUCCAGCAGGCUGUCCUCCAUCCCGGGGGCGGGGGGGAAUUAAAAAAUAAAAUAAAAUCAUUGUGGAACAAUUUUCUAUUUUUGCUAACUAAAAUUUCAGUGGAAGUCUAUCUCAGCACUUGGUUGGUCUUCAUUAUUUCUAUAAUAUAUUUUCCUCUUUCUUAUUUUGAACAUCACAUUCUUCAGUAAAAUAAUAUUAUACGUAAAUUUAAAAAUUUUAUUUAUUUUUUAAAUACAUAUUUUCCAUCAAAAUACUAUUCUAAAAUGCAUUUUGGACCAAAAAGGGGCCCAAACAAC